rnacentral:rRNA from 1 species
UUGCCUACGGGAGGCAGCAGUGAGGAAUAUUGGUCAAUGGGAGAGAUCCUGAACCAGCCAAGCCGCGUGAGGGAAGACGGCCCUAUGGGUUGUAAACCUCUUUUGUCGGAGAACAAAACCCGGGACGUGUCCCGGACUGCGUGUAUCCGAAGAAAAAGCAUCGGCUAACUCCGUGCCAGCAGCCGCGGCAAUACGGAGGAUGCGAGCGUUAUCCGGAUUUAUUGGGUUUAAAGGGUGCGCAGGCGGAGGCACAAGUCAGCGGUAAAAUCGCGGGGCUCAACCCCGCUC